GUGGGGAAUAUUGCACAAUGGGGGAAACCCUGAUGCAGCAACGCCGCGUGAGUGAUGACGGUCUUCGGAUUGUAAAGCUCUGUCUUCAGGGACGAUAAUGACGGUACCUGAGGAGGAAGCCACGGCUAACUACGUGCCAGCAGCCGCGGUAAUACGUAGGUGGCAAGCGUUGUCCGGAUUUACUGGGCGUAAAGGGAGCGUAGGUGGAUAUUUAAGUGGGAUGUGAAAUACUCGGGCUUAACCUGGGUGCUGCAUUCCAAACUGGAUAUCUAGAGUGCAGGAGAGGAAAGUAGAAUUCCUAGUGUAGCGGUGAAAUGCGUAGAGAUUAGGAAGAAUACCAGUGGCGAAGGCGACUUUCUGGACUGUAACUGACACUGAGGCUCGAAAGCGUGGGGAGCAAACAGGAUUAGAAACCCCGGUAGUCC
rnacentral:rRNA from 1 species